rnacentral:lncRNA from 1 species
CUCAAAGAAACAAACUAAGGAAGACAAACAACAAAUCACUGACAUUUAUGAAACAAGGAGAAAUUUGAACAAAAGCCAGACAGUUGAUGAUAUUAAGUUGUUAUUGUUAUGUUGGUGUGAUAAUGAUAUUGUGUUUAUGUUUUUUUAAAUAAUACUUAUCUUUAAAAGAUACAUAUCAGAGAAUGGGAGGGAGAAGUAGGUCAGGUAUGGAUGAAAUUGAAGCUGGGUUACAGUUAUAACAUGUAUAGAAAUUCAUGUUUUUGCCUUGAAAAUCUAAAAAUGAAAAUGUAAUAAUAACUAUAUUUAAUUAUUAACUAAAUUCAAGUCCCUACUUGUACAGCUUCACUUAAUAUUUAAAUGUUUUAUGAUUUGAGGUAGAUAGCUAUCAUCAUUGCUUGAUCAAAACCCAUUCAGCUUUCUUCUCAUGUGUCACCCUGAUCUGUGGCCCUCCUCAUCACUCUGAGUAGAUGCUCAACUCAAUUUGCAUUUGAAAUACAGUCUUAUCACAGAUGCUUCUGUAGAAGAGAAACUUAAAAAGAAGAAAAACAGUAGAAUGUUUUUAAAAAGUUGUGGAAAUAGGUGGUAUAAUUUACCUCGUAUCCUAAACGACUAUCUGCUGACAUUCGACAAAAAGAGAGUAGUGCUUGAUGGAAUGCAGGAGACAAUUUCCUAGAAGAAAAUGUAUGAAAAAGAGACAAUAUCAAAUAAUUACCAUUGACAUUUAAGGAGAAAUUUAAGUUAUGUAUUAUAACUUCCAUUCCAGCAUUAAUCCUACCCCACAAAGCUAACCAGAUUUCUGAGCCACCAGUGACUUGAAGAACACUUCACUGGAGAAACUUAUACAGGUCACUUAGGAGAAAAAAAAUCAACAGU